ACGGAGGUCCCUAGCGUUGUUCGGAAUCACUGGGCUUAAAGCGCGUGCAGGCGGUUCGGUAAGUCGGGCGUGAAAGCUCCUGGCUCAACUGGGAGAGGCCGUCCGAAACUGCCAGACUUGAGGGCGACAGAGGGGAGUGGAAUUCCGGGUGUAGUGGUGAAAUGCGUAGAUAUCCGGAGGAACACCAGUGGCGAAGGCGGCUCCCUGGGUCGCUCCUGACGCUCAGACGCGAAAGCGUGGGUAGCGAACGG
rnacentral:rRNA from 1 species